rnacentral:rRNA from 1 species
UACAGAGGGUGCGAGCGUUAAUCGGAAUUACUGGGCGUAAAGGGCGCGUAGGCGGUCUUAUAAGUUGGUUGUGAAAUCCCUGGGCUUAACCUAGGAACUGCAAUCAAUACUGUGAGACUGGAGUGCGGUAGAGGGUAGUGGAAUUUCCGGUGUAGCGGUGAAAUGCGUAGAUAUCGGAAGGAACACCAGUGGCGAAGGCGGCUACCUGGACUGACACUGACGCUGAGGCGCGAGAGCGUGGGGAGCAAACAGG